rnacentral:rRNA from 1 species
GACGAACGCUGGCGGCGUGCUUAACACAUGCAAGUCGAACGGUGACGAAUGGAGCUUGCUCUGUUCUGAUCAGUGGCGAACGGGUGAGUAACACGUGAGUAACCUGCCCCCUGACUCUGGAAUAACUUCGGGAAACCGAAGCUAAUACCGGAUAUGACACAGAGCCGCAUGGUUUCUGUGUGGAAAAGUUUUUUCGGUUGGGGAUGGACUCGCGGCCUAUCAGCUUGUUGGUGAGGUAAUGGCUCACCAAGGCGACGACGGGUAGCCGGCCUGAGAGGGCGACCGGGCCACACUGGGACUGAGACACGGCCCAGACUCCUACGGGAGGCAGCAGUGGGGAAUAUUGCACAAUGGGCGAAAGCCUGAUGCAGCGACGCCGCGUGAGGGAUGAAGGCCUUCGGGUUGUAAACCUCGUUUCAGUAGGAAGAAGCGCAAGUGACGGUA